UCCUAUCGGUAAGUUUCUGACAGC
rnacentral:miRNA from 1 species